UGGGGAAUUUUGGACAAUGGGCGCAAGCCUGAUCCAGCCAUACCGCGUGAGUGAAGAAGGCCUUCGGGUUGUAAAGCUCUUUCAGACGGAAAGAAACGGUCGCGGCCAAUACCCGCGACUAAUGACGGUACCGUAAGAAGAAGCACCGGCUAACUACGUGCCAGCAGCCGCGGUAAUACGUAGGGUGCGAGCGUUGUUCGGAUUUACUGGGCGUAAAGGGCGCGUAGGCGGCAAUUCAAGUCAUCUGUGAAAUCUCCGGGCUUAACUCGGAACGGUCAGAUGAUACUGCUUUGCUAGAGUGCAGAAGGGGCAAUCGGAAUUCUUGGUGUAGCGGUGAAAUGCGUAGAUAUCAAGAGGAACACCUGAGGUGAAGACGGGUUGCUGGGCUGACACUGACGCUGAGGCGCGAAAGCCAGGGGAGCAAACGGGAUUAGAUACCCUUGUAGUCCCUGAGCGGGCUGGCAAGGCGCAU
rnacentral:rRNA from 1 species